rnacentral:rRNA from 1 species
AACGAACGCUGGCGGCAGGCUUAACACAUGCAAGUCGAGCGGACCCUUCGGGGUCAGCGGCGGACGGGUGAGUAACGCGUGGGAACGUGCCCCUUUCUUCGGAAUAGCCUCGGGAAACUGGGAGUAAUGCCGAAUACGCCGGGCCAUGGCGACAUGGUUCGGGAAAGAUUUUAUCGGAGAGGGAUCGGCCCGCGUUGGAUUAGGUAGUUGGUGGGGUAAUGGCCUACCAAGCCGACGAUCCAUAGCUGGUUUGAGAGGAUGAUCAGCCACACUGGGACUGAGACACGGCCCAGACUCCUACGGGUGGCAG